UUGUGUGUUUUUGAUGUUAGAAUGUGCUUCUUUUGAGCUCAAAGUUUAAAUCUAGGACUGUUGUUUGAUGACCUUGAUCAUAGCUUGUUGUUCUUGAACGUCUUUGAUUUGGGUUUGAAUAGAAGACAGGUAGUGAUUUGAUUAAGUUUGAAUCUUUUCACUUUCUUUUAAGCACUAAUCUUAGUUGUUAAUAUUUGUUUAAUCAAGCAUUAAAACCCCAUUUCAUUUCUUUAAUAUUUGGAUGGUUCUAGCUACUAUAUUGCCAGGGUUUAUGGCAUUUGACCAGGAAUCCUGGUUCAUGUUGGUGGUUGAUAUGCGUUGAAAGACCC
rnacentral:lncRNA from 1 species